rnacentral:rRNA from 1 species
CAGCCGCCGCGGGAAAACGAAGGGGGCUAGCGUUGUUCGGAUUUACUGGGCGUAAAGGGCGCGUAGGCGGACUGAUAAGUCAGGGGUGAAAUCCCAAGGCUCAACCUUGGAACUGCCUUUGAUACUGUUUGUCUUGAGUUCGAGAGAGGUAAGUGGAACUGCGAGUGUAGAGGUGAAAUUCGUAGAUAUUCGCAAGAACACCAGUGGCGAAGGCGGCUUACUGGCUCGAAACUGACGCUGAGGCGCGAAAGCGUGGGGAGCAAACAGGAUUAGAUACCCCCGUAGUCCCUGUCUCUUAUAC